CGUAGGGUGCGAGCGUUAAUCGGAAUUACUGGGCGUAAAGCGUGCGCAGGCGGUUAUGCAAGACAGAUGUGAAAUCCCCGGGCUCAACCUGGGAACUGCAUUUGUGACUGCAUAGCUAGAGUACGGUAGAGGGGGAUGGAAUUCCGCGUGUAGCAGUGAAAUGCGUAGAUAUGCGGAGGAACACCGAUGGCGAAGGCAAUCCCCUGGACCUGUACUGACGCUCAUGCACGAAAGCGUGGGGAGCAAACAGGAUUAGAUACCCUGGUAGUCCACGCCCUAAACGAUGUCAACUGGUUGUUGGGUCUUCACUGACUCAGUAACGAAGCUAAACGCGUGAAGUUGACCGCCUGGGGAGUACGGCCGCAAAGGUUGA
rnacentral:rRNA from 1 species